UACGUAGGGGGCGAGCGUUGUCCGGAUUUAUUGGGCGUAAAGAGCGUGUAGGCGGCCAGGUAGGUCUGCUGUGAAAACUCGAGGCUCAACCUCGAGACGUCGGCGGAAACCAUCUGGCUAGAGUCCGGAAGAGGAGAAUGGAAUUCCUGGUGUAGCGGUGAAAUGCGCAGAUAUCAGGAAGAACACCCGUGGCGAAGGCGGUUCUCUGGGACGGUACUGACGCUGAGGCGCGAAAGCGUGGGGAGCGAACAGG
rnacentral:rRNA from 1 species